AAUCCAACUCUUAAUAGAGUCACAGUGUGGCAUUUACCAAUUUAGAAUAACAUUAUUAGUUGCAGAUUUUAAAAGUGUCCAUGUGACUUAGCUUGUAAUUUUGUUCCAUGUAUUUGAUGUCAAAUGCCUGAAACGUUUGGGUGCUCAAUCUCAAACACUUGGAGUGACAAUAUAUAUACACAAAGAUCUCAAAAAUUGAGCAAAAG
rnacentral:misc_RNA from 1 species